CUAAAACGAAGCCUGUGAUGACAAGACCAGCAAGUAGGUGCGCGGUUCCCUCACAACCUGCAGCACACCGCUGCGCUUCCCUGUUCUUACAAAGCCUCAGGAUCAAGAAUGUGGAGCUACAGUUCCUGACCAGGUAUCCAAGAAACCACUACUACCGUGCCCAGAUGAGAUGUAAAACUGAACUCCCAGCCACGUGAAGACAAUGUAGGACAACAACUCUUACCUGAAGCAUUCUCGCAGCACUGAUUGCCUAGAAGCACUAAGGUAUGCAAACCUAACUCAUCAGCUGCCAGGAGCAACACAUCCAGCUCUCACCACCUGAAAAGAGGAAUAGAAGGGUACAUCUUGGAAAUCUUGUUUUCAGCUGGGCUGCCUUUCAGUGCCUGGGGCUCAAUCUAAGUGAUUUACUGCCCAGUAGUAACUAUUGCCCAGAAGUUGCACCCAUAAAAAUUAAUAAAUGCUUUAUAACACA